AACGAACGCUGGCGGCAUGCCUAACACAUGCAAGUCGAACGAGACCUUCGGGUCUAGUGGCGCACGGGUGCGUAACGCGUGGGAACCUGCCCUUAGGUUCGGAAUAACUCCCGAAAGGGGUGCUAAUACCGGAUAAUGUCUUCGGACCAAAGAUUUAUCGCCUUUGGAUGGGCCCGCGUUGGAUUAGCUAGUUGGUAGGGUAAAAGCCUACCAAGGCGACGAUCCAUAGCUGGUCUGAGAGGAUGAUCAGCCACACUGGGACUGAGACACGGCCCAGACUCCUACGGGAGGCAGCAGUGGGGAAUAUUGGACAAUGGGCGAAAGCCUGAUCCAGCAAUGCCGCGUGAGUGAUGAAGGCCUUAGGGUUGUAAAGCUCUUUUACCCGGGAUGAUAAUGACAGUACCGGGAGAAUAAGCUCCGGCUAACUCCGU
rnacentral:rRNA from 1 species